rnacentral:rRNA from 1 species
UUGAAAAAUUAGCGGAUGACUUGUGGCUGGGGGUGAAAGGCCAAUCAAACCGGGAGAUAGCUGGUUCUCCCCGAAAGCUAUUUAGGUAGCGCCUCGUGAAUUCAUCUCCGGGGGUAGAGCACUGUUUCGGCAAGGGGGUCAUCCCGACUUACCAACCCGAUGCAAACUGCGAAUACCGGAGAAUGUUAUCACGGGAGACACACGGCGGGUGCUAACGUCCGUCGUGAAGAGGGAAACAACCCAGACCGCCAGCUAAGGUCCCAAAGUCAUGGUUAAGUGGGAAACGAUGUGGGAAGGCCCAGACAGCCAGGAUGUUGGCUUAGAAGCAGCCAUCAUUUAAAGAAAGCGUAAUAGCUCACUGGUCGAGUCGGCCUGCGCGGAAGAUGUAACGGGGCUAAACCAUGCACCGAAGCUGCGGCAGCGACGCUUAUGCGUUGUUGGGUAGGGGAGCGUUCUGUAAGCCUGUGAAGGUGUGCUGUGAGGCAUGCUGGAGGUAUCAGAAGUGCGAAUGCUGACAUAAGUAACGAUAAAGCGGGUGAAAAGCCCGCUCGCCGGAAGACCAAGGGUUCCUGUCCAACGUUAAUCGGGGCAGGGUGAGUCGACCCCUAAGGCGAGGCCGAAAGGCGUAGUCGAUGGGAAACAGGUUAAUAUUCCUGUACUUGGUGUUACUGCGAAGGGGGGACGGAGAAGGCUAUGUUGGCCGGGCGACGGUUGUCCCGGUUUAAGCGUGUAGGCUGGUUUUCCAGGCAAAUCCGGAAAAUCAAGGCUGAGGCGUGAUGACGAGGCACUACGGUGCUGAAGCAACAAAUGCCCUGCUUCCAGGAAAAGCCUCUAAGCAUCAGGUAACAUCAAAUCGUACCCCAAACCGACACAGGUGGUCAGGUAGAGAAUACCAAGGCGCUUGAGAGAACUCGGGUGAAGGAACUAGGCAAAAUGGUGCCGUAACUUCGGGAGAAGGCACGCUGAUAUGUAGGUGAAGUCCCUCGCGGAUGGAGCUGAAAUCAGUCGAAGAUACCAGCUGGCUGCAACUGUUUAUUAAAAACACAGCACUGUGCAAACACGAAAGUGGACGUAUACGGUGUGACGCCUGCCCGGUGCCGGAAGGUUAAUUGAUGGGGUCAGCGCAAGCGAAGCUCUUGAUCGAAGCCCCGGUAAACGGCGGCCGUAACUAUAACGGUCCUAAGGUAGCGAAAUUCCUUGUCGGGUAAGUUCCGACCUGCACGAAUGGCGUAAUGAUGGCCAGGCUGUCUCCACCCGAGACUCAGUGAAAUUGAACUCGCUGUGAAGAUGCAGUGUACCCGCGGCAAGACGGAAAGACCCCGUGAACCUUUACUAUAGCUUGACACUGAACAUUGAGCCUUGAUGUGUAGGAUAGGUGGGAGGCUUAGAAGUGUGGACGCCAGUCUGCAUGGAGCCGACCUUGAAAUACCACCCUUUAAUGUUUGAUGUUCUAACGUUGACCCGUAAUCCGGGUUGCGGACAGUGUCUGGUGGGUAGUUUGACUGGGGCGGUCUCCUCCUAAAGAGUAACGGAGGAGCACGAAGGUUGGCUAAUCCUGGUCGGACAUCAGGAGGUUAGUGCAAUGGCAUAAGCCAGCUUGACUGCGAGCGUGACGGCGCGAGCAGGUGCGAAAGCAGGUCAUAGUGAUCCGGUGGUUCUGAAUGGAAGGGCCAUCGCUCAACGGAUAAAAGGUACUCCGGGGAUAACAGGCUGAUACCGCCCAAGAGUUCAUAUCGACGGCGGUGUUUGGCACCUCGAUGUCGGCUCAUCACAUCCUGGGGCUGAAGUAGGUCCCAAGGGUAUGGCUGUUCGCCAUUUAAAGUGGUACGCGAGCUGGGUUUAGAACGUCGUGAGACAGUUCGGUCCCUAUCUGCCGUGGGCGCUGGAGAACUGAGGGGGGCUGCUCCUAGUACGAGAGGACCGGAGUGGACGCAUCACUGGUGUUCGGGUUGUCAUGCCAAUGGCACUGCCCGGUAGCUAAAUGCGGAAGAGAUAAGUGCUGAAAGCAUCUAAGCACGAAACUUGCC